AAUUUUUUACAAUGGGGAAAACCCUGAUCAACCCAUCCCGCGAGUACGAUGAAGGAGUUCGGUUUGUUAAGUACUUUUGGCAGAGAAGAAAAGGUAUCCCCUAAUACGGGAUACUGCUGACGGUAUCUGCAGAAUAAGCACCUACUUACUACCUGCCAGCAGCCGCGGUAAUACGUAGGGUGCAAGCGUUAAUCGGAAUUACUUGGCGUAAAGCGUGUGUAGGCGGUUCGGAAAGAAAGAUGUGGGAUCCCAGGACGCAACCUUGGAACUGCAUUUUUAUCUGACGAGAUAGAGUAAGUCAGAAGGGGGUAGAAUACAACGUGUAGCAGUGAAAUGCGUAGAUAUGUGGAGGAAUACCGAUGGCGAAGGAAGCCAUCUGGGAUAACACUGACGAUCAGACACGAAAGAGUGGGGAGCAAACAGG
rnacentral:rRNA from 1 species